CGGGUAGGAGUAACGCGUGAGGAACCUGCCUCAAAGAGGGGGACAACAGUUGGAAACGACUGCUAAUACCGCAUAAGCCCACAGCUCGGCAUCGAGCAGAGGGAAAAGGAGCAAUCCGCUUUGAGAUGGCCUCGCGUCCGAUUAGCUAGUUGGUGAGGUAACGGCCCACCAAGGCGACGAUCGGUAGCCGGACUGAGAGGUUGAACGGCCACAUUGGGACUGAGACACGGCCCAG
rnacentral:rRNA from 1 species